GCCCGGGGGGUCUGCCUCUCCACUAGCUGACGGAAAGGGAUUUUAGGGACCCUCAAGGAGCUUGGGGUGUGUUCUCUGAAGAUCAAGGAAAUGGGGAAGUGGUCAGCUUCCUAACAACGUAGGAAAGAGAGCUGGCUGUGGGCAUUAGAGCUCCUCCCUAGAAUCCACGGGCCCGAAGCGUGAUGCAGCCAUGCUGUGGAGCAGAGGUAGGUCGCUCACUCAAGAGGUGCGAGGUUUCCUUAGAUCCUGCGCGUAGGGCUGCCCAGAGAGGGGCUGAGCAACAGCAGAGAGAAGCUGGAGCUUCACCCUGUGCGCAGAACAGCAGCCAUUUGGAGCGGGGUACAUCCUCCCUCCCCUGUCAAAGGAACAUCCCAGCGAGGAGAAGGUGGGUCUCCAAAACCAAGAAAGGGAAAGUGUUGGCUCUCGCUCCUUCCCUGCCCAUCUCCGGGUGGUGGUAGUCGAGUAAGGUCUUACCUCACCUCCCUCCCUCCCAGCCACCGCCUACUCCCCCGCCCUGAAGAAGAUAGAAACCUCUCCAAGGAACUCAGGAUGAGAAGGAGAAGCUCCAGGCACAUGGGACGAUUUCAUAUCUCUGAAGUGAAGAUAGGACCGUGAGACUUGCUUUGGGCAAUGAAAUGUAAGUAGAAGUGAUCUGAAAGCAGGGACGUGACCAUUACUGAGGGCACUGUCUUCUCCUGCUACAGCGAUUAGGAAAACCAUUGUUGAUAUUGUAGGGAUUUGGGAAGUUUGCCCAAAUACACGUGGACUUUUUGUGAGUCACAACAAUCUCAUGUUGUGAGAUUGGAGCAUUUGUUUCUGCAGCAAAACACAGUCUAUCCUGAAUAACGCAUUGUAGAAAGAGAGGUUGCAUGUGGAGGUCCUCUUCAAAACAAAGCAAAGGACAAAGGUUUUUCAGAAAAUGUCCUGGUUUUCAUUAGACUAAAAAAAAAAAA